rnacentral:rRNA from 1 species
GAGUUUGAUCCUGGCUCAGGAUGAACGCUGGCGGCGUGCCUAAUACAUGCAAGUCGAACGAGAGGAAGGAAAGCUUGCUUUUCUGAAUCUAGUGGCGAACGGGUGAGUAACACGUAGGUAACCUGCCCAUGUGCCCGGGAUAACUUCUGGAAACGGAUGCUAAAACCGGAUAGGUAGCAGACAAGCAUUUGACUGCUAUUAAAGUGGCUUUGGCCAUGAACAUGGAUGGACCUGCGGUGCAUUAGCUGGUUGGUGAGGUAACGGCCCACCAAGGCGACGAUGCAUAGCCGGCCUGAGAGGGCGGACGGCCACAUUGGGACUGAGACACGGCCCAAACUCCUACGGGAGGCAGCAGUAGGGAAUUUUCGUCAAUGGGGGGAACCCUGAACGAGCAAUGCCGCGUGAGUGAGGAAGGUCUUCGGAUCGUAAAGCUCUGUUGUAAGAGAAAAACGGCACUCAUAGGGAAUGAUGAGUGAGUGAUGGUAUCUUACCAGAAAGUCACGGCUAACUACGUGCCAGCAGCCGCGGUAAUACGUAGGUGGCGAGCGUUAUCCGGAAUGAUUGGGCGUAAAGGGUGCGUAGGUGGCAGAUCAAGUCUGGAGUAAAAGGUAUGGGCUCAACCCGUACUGGCUCUGGAAACUGAUCAGCUAGAGAACAGAAGAGGACGGCGGAACUCCAUGUGUAGCGGUAAAAUGCGUAGAUAUAUGGAAGAACACCGGUGGCGAAGGCGGCCGUCUGGUCUGGAUUCUGACACUGAAGCACGAAAGCGUGGGGAGCAAAUAGGAUUAGAUACCCUAGUAGUCCACGCCGUAAACGAUGAGAACUAGGUGUUGGGGGAAUAACUCAGUGCCGCAGUUAACGCAGUAAGUUCUCCGCCUGGGGAGUAUGCACGCAAGUGUGAAACUCAAAGGAAUUGACGGGGGCCCGCACAAGCGGUGGAG